AAGUGGAGGUUGUUGAAACUGAGGAAAAGAAGGGGUUCCUGGACAAGAUUAAGGAGAAGCUACCAGGGCACAAGAAGACCGAGGAGGUUGCUUCUCCUCCGCCACCGGCACCACCUGCGGCGACCUCAUCAGAACACGGUGAGGGUGGUCAUCAUGAAGGAGAAGGGAAGGAGAAGAAAGGUAUAUUGGAGAAGAUAAAGGAGAAGCUUCCUGGUUACCACUCCAAAACAGAGGAGGAGAAAGAAAAGGAGAGUGGUGGUCACUGAGAUUGAGACAAGGCUUCUUUGUUGUUGGGUUUGUUGGAGAUGAUUGUGGUGUGCUUUGUUUUCCUUUCAUCAUAUCAAAGCCUUGUGGGGUUUCUUAUCUUUCGUGUUUCUUGAUGCAUACUUUACUUUUUAUUAUUGUGUAUGUAUCUAUCUUGCAUAUACAAAAGCUUGUUUAGGUUUCCUUUUUUUU
rnacentral:lncRNA from 1 species